AUUGAACGCUGGCGGCAUGCCUUACACAUGCAAGUCGAACGGUAACAGGUCUUCGGAUGCUGACGAGUGGCGAACGGGUGAGUAAUACAUCGGAACGUGCCUAGUAGUGGGGGAUAACUACUCGAAAGAGUGGCUAAUACAGCAUGAGAUCUACGGAUGAAAGCAGGGGAUCGCAAGACCUUGUGCUACUAGAGCGGCCGAGGGCAGAUUAGGUAGUUGGUGGGAUAAAAGCUUACCAAGCCGACGAUCUGUAGCAGGUCUGAGAGGACGAUCAGCCACACUGGGACUGAGACACGGCCCAGACUCCUACGGGAGGCAGCAGUGGGGAAUUUUGGACAAUGGGCGCAAGCCUGAUCCAGCAAUGCCGCGUGCAGGAUAAAGGCCUUCGGGUUGUAAACUGCUUUUGUACGGAACGAAAAGCCCCGGGUUAAUACCCUGGGGUCAUGACGGUACCGUAAGAAUAAGCACCGGCUAACUACGUGCCAGCCGCCGCCGUAA
rnacentral:rRNA from 1 species